CAAUAGCUAGAAUGGGGAACCAACCUAGAUGCCCUUCAACAGAUGAAUGGAUUAAAAAAAUGUGGCAUUUAUACACAAUGAAAUAUUACUCAGCACUAAAAAAUAACAAGAUCAUGGCAUUUGCAGGGAAAUGGAUGGCAAAGAAGGCCCAGUGUGAGAAGGUGGCUGUAGGCAGAGCGGGACAGCCAUUGCCAAGGAAGAAAUGCUCAUCCAUGGGGAAUACAGGUAGGCCACAGAAAUGAAAGUUUCCUUUGCCGUCACAUCAAUAGGGGGACCUCUGAGGCUGCCACCACUUCUGGAACUGGCCUGUCCAGUCACCACUGAGGACCUCAACUGGGAGAAACAGAAAGCUCCGCAGCACAU
rnacentral:lncRNA from 1 species